UUGGUUCAGUAGCAGAAUCCUUGUCUGCCACACAAGAGGCCCAGGUUCAAUUCCUAGA
rfam:Alligator sinensis unplaced genomic scaffold scaffold134_1, whole genome shotgun sequence